UACGUAGGUGGCGAGCGUUAUCCGGAAUUAUUGGGCGUAAAGAAUGCGUAGGUGGACUCUUAAGUCAGAUGUGAAAUCCCCGAGCUUAACUCGGGAACUGCAUUUGAAACUGGGAGCCUGGAGUGCAGGAGAGGUAAGUGGAGUUCCUAGUGUAGCGGUGAAAUGCGUAGAUAUUAGGAAGAACAUCGGUGGCGAAGGCGACUUACUGGACUGUAACUGACGCUGAGGCAUGAAAGCGUGGGGAGCAAACAGG
rnacentral:rRNA from 1 species